AGUGGCGGACGGGUGAGUAACGCGUGAGAAUCUGCCUUGGGGUCGGGGACAACCACUGGAAACGGUGGCUAAUACCGGAUAAGCCGAUUGGUGAAAGAUUUAUUGCCCGAAGAGGAGCUCGCGUCUGAUUAGCUAGUUGGUGAGGUAAGAGCUCACCAAGGCAGCGAUCAGUAGCUGGUCUGAGAGGACGAUCAGCCACACUGGGACUGAGACACGGCCCAGACUCCUACGGGAGGCAGCAGUGGGGAAUUUUCCGCAAUGGGCGAAAGCCUGACGGAGCAAGACCGCGUGAGGGAGGAAGGCUCCUGGGUUGUAAACCUCUUUUCUCAGGGAAGAAGCUCUGACGGUACCUGAGGAAUCAGCCUCGGCUAACUCCGUGCCAGCAGCCGCGGUAAUACGGAGGAGGCAAGCGUUAUCCGGAAUUAUUGGGCGUAAAGCGUCCGCAGGUGGCGAUUCAAGUCUGCUGUCAAAGCACGGGGCUUAACUCCGUAAAGGCAGUGGAAACUGAAUAGCUAGAGUGCCGUAGGGGUAGAGGGAAUUCCCGGUGUAGCGGUGAAAUGCGUAGAGAUCGGGAAGAACAUCGGUGGCGAAAGCGCUCUACUGGACGGCAACUGACACUCAGGGACGAAAGCUAGGGGAGCGAAUGGGAUUAGAUACCCC
rnacentral:rRNA from 1 species